ensembl:lncRNA
CUAAACGAUACAUCUACGACCCAAAUUCAUAUACCAGUGCAAUGAGGGCUCUCAAACAGAAAUAUGGUUAGCCAAGACAGCUGGUGUCGUGAGGUGCCAUGACGAGAAGGAGUGACUGAGGAAGAUCGUCCACAAGAUGGAAGCUGAGGCCAGGAGAGAGGCUUCAGGAGGAUCAGAGAUCAUCUUCAGCACAGCAGACAUCCCACAGAGAGCUGUGCUACUGGGCUUCCAGGAGAUCGUCAUGAGGAGACUUCGCACAGCAAAAUCUUAAAUAAAAUGAAAGAGAUUCAGCAUUGAUGUUGAGGAAGACAACUAAGGUGUACGACGUGCUCUACCUUAAAUCGUCCGCGGUGUUGGAACGUGAGAACCUGAGGGAUGAAGGAGCGUGCCAAGCUCCAUCUGACGGGCAGGAGCAAGUUCAGCGAUGGACUUGUGGUUCUGUGAACAGCACAAAUGCCAGGUGCUUUUAUUUUGAAAGGGGCCGGGAGAAAAAGAAACGAGGG